rnacentral:rRNA from 1 species
CUUUUAUCUUUUUAAGGUCUGGCCUGCCCACUGAUAUUUGAAGGGCCGUGGUAUACUGACCAUGCGAAGGUAGCAUAAUCAUUUGCCUCUUAAUUAGGGGCUGGAAUGAAGGGUUUUACGAGAAACUUUCUGUCUCUUUUAGUAAUUUGAAUUUAAUUUUUUGGUGAAAAAGCUAAAAUUUUCUUGUAGGACGAUAAGACCCUAUAGAUCUUUAUAGAAUUUCUCUUAAACUUUUUAGUUGUAAGUAAUUUUAAGAUUAGUCUAUUUUGUUGGGGCGACAAUGAGUGUUGAUUUAUCUCUCAUAUUUAUUUUACAAUUAUCAUUGGGUUUUGAUCCUUUAGUGAAUUAAGAUUAAGUUACCUUAGGGAUAACAGCGUAAUUUUUCUUGAGAGUUCUUAUCGACAGAAAAGUUUGCGACCUCGAUGUUGGUUCAGGAUUCCUUUUGGGCGCAGUAGUUCAGAAAGGUAGUCUGUUCGACUAUUAAAUUCCUA